UGGGUAAUCUUGUGAAACUUCAUCGUGAUGGGGAUAGAGCAUUGCAAUUAUUGCUCUUCAACGAGGAAUCCCUAGUAAGCACAAGUCAUCAGCUUGUGUUGAUUACGUCCCUGCCCUUUGUACACACCGCCCGUCGCUACUACCGAUUGAAUGGCUUAGUGAGACCCUCGGAUUGGUAUUCAGAAGCUUUAACCGGCAUCUGUUUGCUGAGAAGUUGGUCAAACUUGGUCAUUUAGAGGAAGUAAAAGUCGUAACAAGGUAGCCGUAGGUGAACCUGCGGAAGGAUCAUU
rnacentral:rRNA from 1 species